rnacentral:rRNA from 1 species
UACCCCGGUAGUCCUAGCUGUAAACGAUGGAUGCCUGGGUGUGGGUGGGUGUAAACUCCCUCUGUGCCGAAGCAAAUCGCGUUAAGCAUCCCGCCUGGGGACUACGGCCUCAAGGCUAAAACUCAAACGAAUUGACGGGGGCCCGCACAAGCAGCGGAGCGUGUGGUUUAAUUCGAUGCUACACGAAGAACCUUACCUGGGUUUGACAUGCACGUGGUAGGGAACCGAAAGGGGACCGACCUUCGGGAGCGUGCACAGGUGCUGCAUGGCUGUCGUCAGCUCGUGCCGUGAGGUGUCGGGUUAAGUCCCGUAACGAGCGCAACCCUUGCCCUUAGUUACAAGUGUCUAAGGGGACUGCCCGGGACAACUGGGAGGAAGGUGGGGAUGACGUCAAGUCAGCAUGGCCUUUAUAUCCAGGGCUACACACACGCUACAAUGGCCGGUACAAUAGGUGNCGAAGUCGUGAGGCGGAGCCAAUCCUCAAAGCCGGUCUCAGUUCGAAUUGCAGUCUGCAACUCGACUGCAUGAAGCUGGAGUUGCUAGUAAUCGCAGGUCAGCUAUACUGCGCUGAUACGUUCCCGGGCAUGUACGCACCGCCCGUCACGUCAUGGAAGCUGG